CCUACGGGAGGCAGCAGUGAGGAAUAUUGGUCAAUGGACGAGAGUCUGAACCAGCCAAGUAGCGUGAAGGAUGACUGCCCUAUGGGCAGGGAAGAAGAUGACGGUACCUGACCAAGAAGCCCCGGCUAACUACGUGCCAGCAGCCGCGGUCAUACGUAGGGGGCAAGCGUUAUCCGGAUUUACUGGGUGUAAAGGGGGCGCAGACGGCAAUGCAAGCCAGGAGGGAAAGCCCGGGGCCCAACCCAGGGACUGCUCUUGGAACUGAAUGGCUGGAGUACAGGAGGGGCAGGCGGAAUGCCUAGUGUAGCGGUGAAAUGCGUAGAUAUCAGGAGGAACACCGGCGGCGAAGGCGGCCUGCUGGACCGCGACUGACGUUGAGGCUCGAAAGCGUGGGGAGCGAACAGGAUUAGAUACCCCAGUAGUC
rnacentral:rRNA from 1 species